UUUUUGGUUUCAGAAGCGCAGCCUGCACAGUGCAUUCCUGGCAGGUGUGGGAGCCUCAGAUCAACGGCGGAGCAAAGUCAAUAAUACACCGGAUUUAACUGCAGGAAAACAGCGAGGACACGUAACCUGCUACAGAGUGCAUGCCAUCGGGUCCUGAUUUUUCCUGGGUCACCGCACUGGAAGGAUUCGGGGCUCACACACGUGCAAGCGAAUGGCUGUCGAGCUGGAUGUCCCACUUUUGUGGGUGGGGGGGGAGGUUGCACAUUCUCCUCACGGUCCGCUGGAAGUACCGUACACGUGUCGUCUUAGCGGAGCAGACACGUGGAUCAUGCAGCUAAACCAAACAGGUUCCUGGCUGGCACAUGGUCCGCCUUGGUCCUAAUGAAGAUGGGUCGUCGGGUUUGCCCCUGCUCUCUCCCCUCGGCGUCUAUCGCAGGCAUCAAUCACACAGGUAGUACUCCUCACAUCUUCAUCUCCUGCAAGCAACAGCAUACCUGCGGCCUGCA